rnacentral:rRNA from 1 species
UACGUAGGGGGCAAGCGUUGUCCGGAGUUACUGGGCGUAAAGCGCACGCAGGCGGUCGCACAAGUUUGGGGGUGACAGCUUCCGGCUUCACUGGAAGAGGACCUCGAAAACUGGGCGACUUGAGGGGUUCAGAGGGACCGAGAAUCCGGGUGGAGUGGUGAAAUGCGUAGAUAUCCGGAGGAAUACCCAAGGCGAAGGCAUGGUCCUGGGAACCACCUGACGCUCAGGUGCGAAAGCGAGGGGAGCGAACGGG